CUCCAAGUGGGCCAUUUU
rnacentral:snRNA from 1 species